rnacentral:rRNA from 1 species
AUGAAGCAGCCGGCCGCACAGAACAAGCUUGAGGUCGUUACCUCAAAUGGCGGUGAGCGCGGUGGCAAGAGAAUGGAGAGAGGAUCCUCCUUGCAGGGUGGCCGGGGUGGCGGCGCCCUACUGACUCCCCAGCCAGGGGGGAUAGCAGUUCCUGUGGAGCGGUGUGGCGCUGCGACAAUCGAGCUCGACCUGACAAGGGCAAGGGCUGCCAUGAGUACCCGCUGGCUCGCGGUGGGGUACUUCUUCUCUGUGCUCCCUUUUAGCACGGCGGGGUUGUUUGGUGAACUGAAGAGCAAGUGGGGGCUGCGUGGACGACUCGACUACACACCCCUCAGCAACAAUUGCUUCAUGCUCGAAUUCGAGCGUGAGGGCAAUCGUCGGCACGUCCUGUAG